GGCUUGUAGUCAUAUGCUUGUCUCAAAGAUUAAGCCAUGCAUGUCUAAGUAUAAGCAAUUAUACCGCGAAACUGCGAAUGGCUCAUUAUAUAAGUUACCGUUUAUUUGAUAGUACCUUACUACUUGGAUAACCGUGGUAAUUCUAGAGCUAAUACAUGCUAAAAAUCCCGACUUCGGAAGGGAUGUAUUUAUUAGAUUAAAAACCAAUGCCCUUCGGGGCUCACUGGUGAUUCAUGAUAACUCCUCGAAUCGCAUGGCCUUGUGCCGGCGAUGGUUCAUUCAAAUUUCUUCCCUAUCAACUUUCGAUGUUUGGGUAUUGGCCAAACAUGGUUGCAACGGGUAACGGAGGGUUAGGGCUCGACCCCGGAGAAGGAGCCUGAGAAACGGCUACUACAUCCAAGGAAGGCAGCAGGCGCGCAAAUUACCCAAUCCCGACACGGGGAGGUAGUGACAAUAAAUACUGAUACAGGGCUCUUUUGGGUCUUGUAAUUUGAAUGAGUACAAUUUAAAUCCCUUAACGAGGAACAAUUGGAGGGCAAGUCUGGUGCCAGCAGCCGCGGUAAUUCCAGCUCCAAUAGCGUAUAUUAAAGUUGUUGUGGUUAAAAAGCUCGUAGUUG
rnacentral:rRNA from 1 species